UGGUAUUUCUCACUUUGUAAGAAUGACCUAUCAGAACCCAUGAGUAUGAUAUUGGCAAAUGCCACCCAGUCAAAGUGGCUUUGUGCUUUAAUACUUCAGCAUCAGAACUGUCUUUUCAGAUCUUCACAUCUUUUAAGAUGACUACUUUUUAAAAACCUAAAAUUUAUGCAAUUUUAAUCGGAGGGAUGAUCCAGACAACCUUACUUGUUGCAGUGGGCUUUUCAUUGACUGCUCACUCAUCUGCUUCUGACCACCAUUUCUAUCAUUUUUUCUCAUGUUAUCAAAUUCACUUACUUUAGGUGCUAGAUUAUUUACAAAAACAAAAGAAAAGCAAAAUAGUGAUCUUUGUUGAACAACUCUGAUAUUGUUCCUUUCCUUUUGUCAGAAUUUUAUCAUGAUUUUCUUUCCUUUUUAACAGUUGAAUGACUGAUUUUUGUAGUUUAAUAACCACCUAUUUCCAUUAUAUUUCUUUUCCUUCUGUGAGAUAGGGUAUAAUUAUAUAUGGCUUAUAAGUUUCCACUGGCCACUUAUAAUUUUUGACAUUUAUAUUGUUUUGGAGUACCAAAUUGAUAUAUGUAUAUUUUAGGAAAUCCAUGCAAUAAACAGAAAAAAAAACUAUGUUAUUUAAGCACGUGGUUAUCAUUUUGGAAUUUUUUCACUUUUUUAGUAUACUUUUCAUUGCAAAGUUGUUAAGCAUAAAGUGAUGUAUUUUUCUCUUUAUAGCAUGGGUAGAUGUUGAUUUAGUUAUGUUAUCUCAGCUGGAUGAUUGCUGACAUUCAUUAAUGAAUAUGUAAUAUUGUAUUACCUGGUAGACUCAGGGUAAAAGUUUAUGGUUUGAAAAUAGUUUAUCUGAGUUUGACUUCUAAAUCACUAUUUAUAACAAGGCAAUUUCCUCAAACUCUUAUAAUUCAUGUAUUAAAUAAGUAACAGUACUUACUUAUUUAACAGUAACAGUAAUUUAUUACAUAAGAUAAUACAUAUAAAUGACCUAGACAUCUUUCCAUUACAUAUUCAGCACUCUAAUGUCUGCCACAUUUAACAUUCAAAACUUUGAACAAAUUGAGAUAUAAUGAUGCAUAGGGUUGUGUACAUAUUUUGGAUUUGGAAUGUUAUGUGCAUUAGUAUUUCCAAAAACGUUUAGGUAAAUAAUGUAGAAAAUUACCAACACAAACCAGUUGGAUGUCUUGCAUUUCUGGAAUUUUUUGACUCAUUAAAUUACAAAAGUUAGAAUCCAUAGAUUUAGAGGAGAAUGGAGUUGCAUAUAGUUAGGAGAGGGAUGUUUUCUUAACUGCAAUAUGAUUUUGACUAUGUCCCACGGUUUCUCAACAUUGGUCCAGCUGAUAAUCAGGAACUUUUUUAAAAUGUUGACCUGACCAUAAAACUAUAGAGAUAAUUAACGAACAGCAUCAUCACAAUUUACGUUUCUACUCUCCAUUAAAUUGCUUAUUUGUCUCCAUAUGUAGCUGUAGUAGCUAUCUCAGAACAUGCCAGUUGGGUGGAUUGACUAUUCCUAGACACUCUGUUCUCACAAACAGUAUCUGCUCUGUAGAACACUCAUCCCUGAAGUUUUUCAUGAUGAAAUAGAGCGUCCAGGAUUGUUUCUCCAUCAGGCCAAGUGACGGCACAUAACUAGUCACUCACAUCACUUGGGAGAGCCACUUGGCCCUUAUCUCGAUGAUUUCAGUUAGGUUUCAUGUGUUUCAUUGGGCUGUCUCAUGAGUGAUUCAGUGGCCUCUUUUAAUCUCCCUGGAUCUUGAAUUCUGCAUCAUCAUCACUUUUCCAUAGUACUUACCUCUUUGAAGAGCUGUUCAAGUUUUUCUAAAUUCUUCUUAGAUUUUCUACUAAUUUCCGUCAUUCAUGAAGGCAUGCAAAUAGUUGUAAUACCUCAAACUAUAAGCCCAGUGAUUUUUUUUUUAAUUUUGAUUCCAGAAAAUAUUUGGAUUAAACCCACCUUGAAUUGCCCUCUAGCUAUUAACUUUCAGUAGUUGCCUUGUAAAGGCUUGACUUUACUUUUGUGCACAGGAAGGUCACAGAUGUGAAAUUUGGCUGUGCCAAUUACAAAGACUUUGGCAGCUAGAAGGAGUUGACUAUUCAAAUUGACUUGCAUGGAAAGGGAAUAAAGGGAGUCUACUUCUCAUAAAGCAAGGAGUCUUGUGGAAGCAUGGUAUAUUAGGUGUUGAAAAAUGACACCCGAAAAUGCAGUGGAUAAGCAAAAUAGGAGAUCUGUUUCUCAAGGUGUAGGGGGACCAUAUGUUUGCCAUACACAUGGAAUUGAGUAUGGCAUAUGUAAGUUGGUCAUUACAGAUGUACUGCUUGGUUCCAGAAGUCAUCCCCUAAAGGUUAUUUCUCUAACUCCAGCAUCCCAUUAUAAUGUUAUGAUUUUUUCUGUUCAUUUCUGGCUUUUUGGGUAAGUAUGUUUAUUCUAGCCCAUGACAGACAGUAACAAGAAAAGAAAAAGUACAAAGCAAGCAAGUUGCUUUUAGAGUUAGCAUGAAAAUUAAAAACAAGCCAGUUCAGUUCACACUCUGUUUCCCAGGACUCAUUUUCAAGGUCAUACCCAGCUGUGAAAAUGGUUGGCUUAGUAAAAUUGAAGUUAAUUUUAUUACUAAAAGGAAGAGUGGUGGUGGAUGGGUCUAGGAGUGUUUGGAGUGGGGGUGGGAAGAACUAGCAGCACCAGCCACAGACAAGCUUCAUGGUGUAUGAUUCAGCAACUAAGUCAUGUCAACCUUUUUCUUCUAUUCUUUUCUACCAUCAACAAUAUAUGAAUUUUGCCUUACAUCAGUUCCCCACCCUGUUCCAAGAAAGCCCCAGAUGAUCCAAGUUCCCAGUCUAGACAUAAGAUAUUCAGGGGCAAAAAGGGCUAUUCUUUUUGUAGGAUUUUAUAUCAGGAGUGAUUUAACCUUACCCAGACAUCCACUGGCAGAGACUCUCACAGAGUUACAUGCCCAUUGAUGAAUCCAUAAAGAGAACUGGGCACCAAUAUUACUUAGAACAGUCAGGGUUUACUGCUGAGAUAGGAGUGGGUCUUGACCCCUAAGUCACAGAGGAAAGGGUUAGAUGCUUGAACAAAUCUCAAGUUGUCUUUUCAAAGAGGAAGAAGGAUGGAUAGAAGGUAACUGCUUACUGAACAUUUCUGUUGUGAGACCAAUAAAAACUACAGCUGUUCAGCUUAAUGUGGUUCCAGGAAUCUGAUGAUCACCUUUUAUCCCCCCCCCCAAACGAAUAAAGUUCAGAUAGUUUAGAGGACUUGCACAAGGUCAUAUGGGCCAGUGAAAUGUUGAACUAUAUAAUGUCAUUCUUUCAAAAACUCCAAAACAAACAAAUGUGCAUCUAAAUAAACAAAGCAACACUUUUUUUCAACAUAUGUUUAUGUUGAUAAAGCAAUAGCUGUAUAACUUUGUACACAUGAAUGAACAGCUAAAAUUCAUUGUAACAUUUUCUCAGUGGGGCCUUAAAAAUCACCACUGUCUUCUAGUUGUGAUUUUCCACUUCUGGUCUUCAGAAAAAAAGCAAGUGCUAUUUUUCUCUGUGACUUCCAUCAGGUCCAGACAUUAGAAAGUUAUGGUGAUUUAAAUCGAGCAGUGUUGCUUCCGCAAUUAUGGUGCAUCUAGUUUUGUGUAGGGAAAUUAAAGUGUAAGAGGGAAAAGAAAAUGUGUUCUGUAUGAGAAAAGUGAAGGCAUAAAGUCAGUGGUUGCUAGAGAAAAAUGAGAAAUCAGAAUAGGUCUUGUGGGCUGUAGUAUAAAAAAUAUGUUUGAAGUAGAUGGAUUUAGAUUUCCAGUUAGCCCUGUUUCAUAAGACUAGACUAUGCAUCAGAAUAGAGGUGUCACUGUGCAGUGCUCAGAAUGGAAAUAAAAAGAAGGAAAAAAACAUUAAAACAAGAGGGCAAUGGGAAAAUGGGAAAUUGCCCUCAUGAGAUGGGCCAGAGUUGAAAAGCAGCAUAUUGGAUGCCUGUUGGAUUCAUUGGCGCCUGGCUCAGAUUCCUCUCUGAGUUAGAGAUUGAGCUUCAUUCUAGAGUGAGGUAGACCUUUGUAAUUUUGACAGAGGAUGAAAGUCAGCUCAUUAGAAAAGAUGAAUUGGACAUACAUAUGCAUGAUAAAUCGAGAGGUAGAAAGAACAAACUCAGUGAAACCAGUUAAGAAACCAUUGCAGUAAUCAAGGGGCACAUUUUUAUGCUUUUCUGUUUGCUUUUUAGUAAGGGUUUAGACUACCUUGACAGAAGUAGUGGGAAAGAGAACACACUGGCAAACAGGUUUUAAAUGUGGAAGGAGCUGGCCACAGUAUAUCUCCAGAGGCCAUCAUAUGAGGUGAUGGACGGACACACUUCAGCUCAAAGACCUUGGUUAACUAGAGCUUUCAAAGUCUGUAGUCAGUCACCUUGAAGGUAGCAACUCCCAACCACUGAAAGUCAUCAUACUGGGGUUGGAAAGAAACCUGGGAAGGGAAGUGUUAACUUCUUUGUUCAACAUGGUUGGGCAAAAGGACGCAAUCAGUAAAAUCUUUUUUUUCAUCUCCGUCAUGCAAACAUUUCAUGAUUGUAUUCUGGGAAUGAGCCCUCAGAUAGAAGACCUUAAUAAAACUCAGAAAAGUGUUUAUAAGAAUGUAUAAGAAAACACCAUGCAGCUUUACUGACCUUGAGAGGGGGCAGGGGAGAAAAAGAGAGAGAGAAGAGAAACUAAGAAAGGGAGAGAGUUUUUAUAAGAUAGAUAUAAUGCAUAUAUAUAUUUUAAAUUAGUGGUUCUCAAUUGGCUGCAAUGUUAUUAUUCCCUACAAAUCAUUGGUUAAUGAUGUCUGGAGACAUUUUUUGUUUUCCCAGCUGGAGCGGCAUCUAAAAAGGAGAGGCAGUGGUGUUCCCCAAUUCCUAGA
ensembl:lncRNA